rnacentral:misc_RNA from 1 species
CGCCGUGCAUGGAAUGCAAUAGACGCACUGUGGACAUAUCUGUGACGCAGUGACCAUCUCCGAGGCACCCAUUCACAUCACAUUUCUUGUUUGACGGAAAUGUCGGCUGCGUUUAUGGCCCAACUCCCGUUUAUCGGGUCAUCAUCAACUCUCGGUUGGCAGCGCGACGAUGUCGCGCGAUCAUAUAUGGAACACGUUUUGCAUCGUGCCCGUGUGCUGCUCCCGCGUCGCGGCUGGCGCAUCGGUCUCAUCAAGGAAUUCUACCCGCGCGGAGCGACCCUGCUUGGACUCAAUGUGAAUGCCGGCAGCGAGGUAUGCAUUCGCUUCCGUGUUCCCGGAAAGAAAAACGAGUUCCUACCAUUUCAUGAAGUGCUGUGCACAGCCUUGCACGAGUUCACGCACUGUGUGCACCCGAGGCACGAUCGUGCCUUCUGGAACCUCUACUACGAUUUGGUCAAGGAGUGCGAGGCGCUGGAAAUUACCAUGAUCCAGCAGGGCAUGCGGCUCUACCCAGCAAUGUCCUCCACACCCAUGAGCUGCUCCGGCACUGCGUCUCAGCAAAGCCGCUCUGAUCGUGAGGGCAGGACUGCAGCAAUGGUCAAGAGCGCUCGAGGUGGAGGCCGCCGCCUCGGUAACGGGGGCGCCAGAGGAGGCGGUAGGGAACGAGGAGGUGGGAUGAGCACGGGCAGUCGCCAUGCCACACAAACCAUCAUCAUGACGGGUCGCGCCGCCUCCAGCAGCAGCUCCUCGCCGACGAGCAGUGCGGGUUUUCCUGGAGAGGGGCGCCGCCUCGGCGGCGGCGGUCCCCGACAGUACGGCACCCCGAUCGGCUUCACCCCGACACGGGACGCGCUGCGCCGAAUCCUUGCCGACGCGGCACAGAGACGUCUUGCGCGGACGCUGCCGUCAGCAGCAACGGCCACGCUGGGUUCGCAGCCUCUAGCUCUCUCACUUGACAGCGGCACUUUCCCGCAACAAGAUGGGGGGCAAUCUGAGUUGGAUGACGGCGACGCGCCGGACUGCGUCCCGCAUAGCCUUUCGGGCCACGAGGACGGUGGUGGCUGGAAUUGCCCACGUUGCGCUUUCCGCAACGAUGAUAACGUGGUCGGUAGCUGCGCUUUCUGCGCUGAUUGCGAUGACGAGGACGAGGGGGAGGCGAUAUGGAGAAAGCGGCCUCGACUCGACAGCGAUCACUCACCACUAGAAACGCCCACGAUAGCCGUCCCCUCGGCCACCGCGUCGAAGACGGUGCCUGCGCAGCAGUCGCAGCAGCAGCAGCAGGUCGAGUGCACCGCAGAAGAGCACUAUAUUGUCGUUAGCGACGAAGACGACAGCUAGCAGGCCAGGGAAAGCCUGCGUGGGGUGUGCCCUUGUUGGUGCAAUCACCACUCUCACCCCCCCCCCGCUCUGACUCUCGCUUCUACUUAUGCGUGCUUUUCAGUGCGCUACCGCAGCCAGACACGUUGCGUAUUUUUCUCGCACGUGCUGCCGGUGCUCCGUCAACGCUAUUUCUUAGCCCACUCUUAG